GGCCUCGUGGCGCAACUGAAUAGCGCAUCAGAUUUCGGCUCUGAGGGUUGGGGGUUUGAAUCCCUCCGGGGUCACGA
rnacentral:tRNA from 3 species